rnacentral:rRNA from 1 species
CCUAAUACAUGCAAGUCGAGCGGUAACAGAAAGUAGCUUGCUACUUUGCUGACGAGCGGCGGACGGGUGAGUAAUGCUUGGGAACGUGCCUUGAGGUGGGGGACAACAGUUGGAAACGACUGCUAAUACCGCAUAAUGUCUACGGACCAAAGGGGGCUCUGUCUCGCCUUUAGAUUGGCCCAAGUGGGAUUAGCUAGUUGGUGAGGUAAUGGCUCACCAAGCAACGAUCCCUAGCUGGUUUGAGAGGAUGAUCAGCCACACUGGGACUGAGACACGGCCCAGACUCCUACGGGAGGCAGCAGUGGGGAAUAUUGCACAAUGGGCGCAAGCCUGAUGCAGCCAUGCCGCGUGUGUGAAGAAGGCCUUCGGGUUGUAAAGCACUUUCAGUCAGGAGGAAAGGUUAGUAGUUAAUACCUGCUAGCUGUGACGUUACUGACAGAAGAAGCACCGGCUAACUCCGUGCCAGCAGCCGCGGUAAUACGGAGGGUGCGAGCGUUAAUCGGAAUUACUGGGCGUAAAGCGUACGCAGGCGGUUUGUUAAGCGAGAUGUGAAAGCCCCGGGCUCAACCUGGGAACUGCAUUUCGAACUGGCAAACUAGAGUGUGAUAGAGGGUGGUAGAAUUUCAGGUGUAGCGGUGAAAUGCGUAGAGAUCUGAAGGAAUACCGAUGGCGAAGGCAGCCACCUGGGCAACACUGACGCUCAUGUACGAAAGCGUGGGGAGCAAACAGGAUUAGAUAUCCUGGUAGUCC